CCUCCUUUGGCCCUUUUCCUGUCGGAGUCUCACAAUUUGCGUAGUGAUAAACGUGUUGUCAUCAAGGGCUUGUGGCUGGGAUAUUGAAACGAGAACGGAAAUGCCUGAGGGGAGGGUGGAAAAGAGCGAGGCAGCGAGGUGGUGGCGGAGCGGAGCGGCUGGGGCCAGGCAGGCAGCAGGAACUUUUGCAAGAAGGCCUCGUCGUUUCCAGCCCGGUGCCCCUCCGGCAAAUGAGGGGGUCAUCGGGUUAUGUUAUUUUAUGCCUUCCAGCUGAUUCUGGGACAUCAACUGGUACCCAGGAGGGAGCGGGCUGACACCAAGGAAGGCAUUUCUCUUCGUCUGAGCUCCUGCUGGAGCGGCCAUCCUCAAGGUCUUUCUUCUGCAUUGCUUUCCUCGCAGCAGAGCAAACAAAACAAGCAGAGACGUCUGCUCAGUAGCAAGUCUGGGGGGAAAAGAAAAUCCUGCAGGUGACAACUGAGAGGCUCAGAGCUGUUGCUGGUCACAUGGCUCGGGUGCGUGGCAGAAACACAUCUGCCCCAGGGAUCUGUUGAUGCUUUAGUGCAACUGCACGCCCGAAGACGUUUCUGUCAGGUGUCCAAAGUCUUCUGCGGGGUUUCGACUGCACAGCCCCUGGAGUAUCACCAGGUGCCCACAUUUUAAUCAGGCAGCUGGAGCCCAGAGAGGGCCCGUGACCUGCACCAAGACACAGAGCCCCGUAGUUGGAGGGAGGGAAAGCAGUCACAACAUCCUGGAAGGCCGUGGAUAUUUUUAUCAAGGGAUUGUGACCUGCCAGCUUUCUGCUAGCUUUCGGGGACACCUGGUGAGACGCAGGAGCGCUGGCUUGUUUGCACGCGGUGUGUGGUGCAGGAGCCCAGGGCUGGAGUGACUCAUUCACCGAGCAGGUGACAUCUGGGUAGUGCAGAGAGACUGAGGGAAUGUCAGCAGCCCACCCCAGCCUCUAACUCAGCGCCAUCCAGCAGAACUUUCUGCAGUCACAGAAGUGGUCUGGGGCGCUGUGCUGUCUCAUGUGGUGCCCCUUCCCACUUGUCCUUACUGCUCACUUGGUAUGUGUCUAGUGAGAGUCAGGAACCGAAGUUCUCAUUCUGUUUUGCCCUCAGUUCAUAUUUCAGUGUGAAAAGCCACACGUGACUAGUGGCUCCCAUCUAGGACAGCACGGCUCUGGUUGGUCACCCCCAGCCAAGACGUGCGGGUACGGACUUGCCUUUGCAAGGCGACGGCAGACCAGCCUGUGUGAGUGGGGGUCAUGGGACAGUUCUAGUCGUGACUUCUCUUUCACACACGUUCACCAGGGCAAUGUGAGAAACAGAGAAGCAAGAAGGAAACGGGUCCAGAACGUGACCCCACCCCCGCUAGUGCCCUGCUCCAACCGCCUGUCUUUACAACAGCCUCCUGGUCACCCUCCCUGCCCCUGCCCUUGGCCCCUGAAGUCGAUUCUCAACAGAGCGGCCAGAGGGAUUCUUGAAGCCCUAAACCAGUGCUGGGUGCUCCUUGCUUGUAGGUCUCUCAUAGUCCUCAUCUGGGCGCUAAAGCCGAGGUCCUUACAAUAGGCUGCAUAGCCCAUACAGUCUGCUCCCCCACCCCGGCCUAUCUGUUACUCUCUUUUCUUUCUGCCACAGCCUGCCCUAGUCACACUGGCCUCGGCUCCAUGCUGUUCCUAGAACAGGAACAGCACAACCUGCCUCAGGGCCUUUGUACUGGCCAUCUCCUCUGCCUGGAGCACUCUUCCUUCAGAUAGCCACAUGGCCCACUCCCAAGUUUUCCCCAUGGCUUUAUUCAAGUGCCAUCUUCUUAGUGAGGUCUUCCAUGGAUGCCUAUUUUGAUUUGCAAUGUCACCCCUCUCCCGAUUCCCCAUCCACUUCCCCUGAUCUCUUUUCCUUCCUUAUCACCAUCUGCCACACAAGAUUUUAUUUACUGGGUUUAUUAUCUAUCUUCCUCCACUCUAACGUGAGCUCUACAGUGGCGGGGGCGGGGGGGUUGGUGAGGCUUCCGCUUUGUACUCUGUUCAACCUUCAGUGUCCAAAAUGGUGCCUGGCACAACAUAGACCAUCCAGAAAUAUUUGGAGAAUAAAUGAAUGAAGGAAUAAAUGAAGGAAAGCCACCCGCAUCGCAUCCCUGCUAACAGUUGGCUAUAUUUCCUUCCAGACUUUCUUCUUUUGAGCCUCCCUUUGAGUGAGUUAAGUGUGGUCACCAAGAAGAUGCUGAGGAGAGAGGAGGGAGAUAUCUCUGUCAGGAUCUGUCUCUGCCUGUGACCACCUCUGGGGAUGUGGUCCUAGACCUUAUCGUGGCUGGUCCAGAAAUCAAUGUUUGUAGUUCUCUCAAGGAUAAUCAGCAUCUGCAGAAUAGACCCAUCCCAACAGCCUAGGGAGAACCCGGUGAAUAAGACCAGAGACCACUUCAUUAAUUCCCACCCCUUUCCAGUGAUCCUACCAUCAAAGAACAAAGAACAUGACCCUGGAAGUCAGAGAUUUGCCUGGAGGAGGAGGUGAGCUUUGUGGAAUGCCCACAGGGCUGCAUUAGGAAUUUUAGGGACCUUCAGGCACUGAGGAGGUACCCAGCACCAUCCUCUGUGUUAUUUUGAAUAAAAGUAAAUGUCAACUAUAAUGCAGUGAAACUGCAAUGAAAACAAUGUUCCAAUAUAUAAUCAAAUUGCUCCUUUUAACGGCAUGUUUUCUCUCCCCAUACAGCGAGAAGGCCCUGAUUUUUGCUUUGGAGACCUCUCCCUCAUUUUCAGCCAACUUGAUCUGUAGGGGGGGACCUCCUUCCACCCCCAGAGAUGGGGUCAAUGAGCUGGGAGGAGAAAUUGGGUGGGGCUUCUGAGAAACCCUCUUUGGGCAGUGGGAUGUCAAGGUACUCGAGAGGGAAGGUACUUGAAGGUACUCAGGGGAGUCCUGGCACAGGUGGGGGUCAUCACGUGGGGCUGGAGCCAACAUGACAUCAUUCAGAGGAGGCAGAAGAAGAGACACCAGGUCUUUGGUAGCGGUGAUGUGUGCUACUGGAUCAAACUUUACCUGAAGCCCACCCUUUGGCUCAACUUUCUUUUCUCCCUCACUUCUGUGAGCCAGUAAAUUCUAUUUUGGUUUACGUCAGUUUGAGUUGCAUUUUCUGUCACUUAAAACCAAAAGAUUUCCAACAGAUAUACCUUGAAAACAAGAACCAUAGCAUAGAGAAUUGAACAGACUUCGGCACCUUUCUGGAUGUAUCAAGAGUGACACAUUCUCACAACCUUUUAGACUCUGUGAAGGCUGCUUCCUUUCGGCUCGGAGUCAUAUCUUCUUGAUUGUGCUACAAGGAAUUAGGUCACUUUAUUAAACUCCA